UUUUGGACAAUGGGCGCAAGCCUGAUCCAGCCAUUCCGCGUGAGUGAAGAAGGCCUUCGGGUUGUAAAGCUCUUUCGCAAGGGAAGAAAGAUUACUCUCUAAUAUAGAGUGAUUAUGACGGUACCUUGAUAAGAAGCACCGGCUAACUACGUGCCAGCAGCCGCGGUAAUACGUAGGGUGCGAGCGUUAAUCGGAAUUACUGGGCGUAAAGCGUGCGCAGGCGGUUUUGUAAGUCAGAUGUGAAAUCCCCGAGCUCAACUUGGGAACUGCGUUUGAAACUACAAGACUAGAAUAGGUCAGAGGGGGGUAGAAUUCCACGUGUAGCAGUGAAAUGCGUAGAGAUGGGAGGAAUAUCAAGGCGAAGGCAGCCCCCUGGGAUCAUAUUGACGCUCAUGCACGAG
rnacentral:rRNA from 1 species